AAUGUCGGCCGUAACUAUAACGGUCCUAAGGUAGCGAAAUUCCUUGUCGGGUAAGUUCCGACCUGCACGAAUGGUGUAACGAUCUGGGCACUGUCUCGGCCACGAGCUCGGUGAAAUUGUAGUAGCGGUGAAGAUGCCGCUUACCCGCAACGGGACGAAAAGACCCCAUGAACCUUUACUAUAGCUUCACAUUGACAUUGGGUAAAAUAUGUGUAGGAUAGGUGGGAGACUUUGAA
rnacentral:rRNA from 1 species